rnacentral:misc_RNA from 1 species
ACGUCAUCCCCAACUAAAUGGUAGCAACUAAAGACGAGGGUUGCGCUCGUUGCGGGACUUAACCCAACAUCUCACGACACGAGCUGACGACAGCCAUGCAGCAUCUGUGGUGCACCCUCGAAGGUCACACGUUUCCGUGCGCUUGCAGCACCAUGUCAAGCCCAGGUAAGGUUCUUCGCGUAGCAUCGAAUUAAAGAACAUGCUCCGCUGCUUGUGCGGGCCCCCGUCAAUUCUUUUGAGUUUUAGCCUUGCGGCCGUACUCCCCAGGCGGAACACUUAACGCGUUGGCUACGGCACAGAGGGAUUCGACUCCCCCCACACCUAGUGUUCAUCGUUUACGGCGUGGACUAC